rnacentral:rRNA from 1 species
GACGAACGCUGGCGGCGUGCCUAAUACAUGCAAGUUGAGCGCUGAAGGUUGGUACUUGUACCGACUGGAUGAGCAGCGAACGGGUGAGUAACGCGUGGGGAAUCUGCCUUUGAGCGGGGGACAACAUUUGGAAACGAAUGCUAAUACCGCAUAAAAACUUUAAACACAAGUUUUAAGUUUGAAAGAUGCAAUUGCAUCACUCAAAGAUGAUCCCGCGUUGUAUUAGCUAGUUGGUGAGGUAAAGGCUCACCAAGGCGAUGAUACAUAGCCGACCUGAGAGGGUGAUCGGCCACAUUGGGACUGAGACACGGCCCAAACUCCUACGGGAGGCAGCAGUAGGGAAUCUUCGGCAAUGGACGAAAGUCUGACCGAGCAACGCCGCGUGAGUGAAGAAGGUUUUCGGAUCGUAAAACUCUGUUGGUAGAGAAGAACGUUGGUGAGAGUGGAAAGCUCAUCAAGUGACGGUAACUACCCAGAAAGGGACGGCUAACUACGUGCCAGCAGCCGCGGUAAUACGUAGGUCCCGAGCGUUGUCCGGAUUUAUUGGGCGUAAAGCGAGCGCAGGUGGUUUAUUAAGUCUGGUGUAAAAGGCAGUGGCUCAACCAUUGUAUGCAUUGGAAACUGGUAGACUUGAGUGCAGGAGAGGAGAGUGGAAUUCCAUGUGUAGCGGUGAAAUGCGUAGAUAUAUGGAGGAACACCGGUGGCGAAAGCGGCUCUCUGGCCUGUAACUGACACUGAGGCUCGAAAGCGUGGGGAGCAAACAGGAUUAGAUACCCUGGUAGUCCACGCCGUAAACGAUGAGUGCUAGAUGUAGGGAGCUAUAAGUUCUCUGUAUCGCAGCUAACGCAAUAAGCACUCCGCCUGGGGAGUACGACCGCAAGGUUGAAACUCAAAGGAAUUGACGGGGGCCCGCACAAGCGGUGGAGCAUGCGGUUUAAUUCGAAGCAACGCGAAGAACCUUACCAGGUCUUGACAUACUCGUGCUAUUCCUAGAGAUAGGAAGUUCCUUCGGGACACGGGAUACAGGUGGUGCAUGGUUGUCGUCAGCUCGUGUCGUGAGAUGUUGGGUUAAGUCCCGCAACGAGCGCAACCCCUAUUGUUAGUUGCCAUCAUUAAGUUGGGCACUCUAACGAGGCUGCCGGUGAUAAACCGGAGGAAGGUGGGGAUGACGCCAAAUCAUCAUGCCCCUUAUGACCUGGGCUACACACGUGCUACAAUGGAUGGUACAACGAGUCGCGAGACAGUGAUGUUUAGCUAAUCUCUUAAAACCAUUCUCAGUUCGGAUUGUAGGCUGCAACUCGCCUACAUGAAGUCGGAAUCGCUAGUAAUCGCGGAUCAGCACGCCGCGGUGAAUACGUUCCCGGGCCU